rnacentral:rRNA from 1 species
CCUACGGGUGGCAGCAGUGAGGAAUAUUGGUCAAUGGGCGAGAGCCUGAACCAGCCAAGUCGCGUGAGGGAAGACGGUCCUACGGAUUGUAAACCUCUUUUGUCAGGGAGCAAGGAGCGCCACGAGUGGUGCGGCGAGAGUACCUGAAGAAAAAGCAUCGGCUAACUCCGUGCCAGCAGCCGCGGUAAUACGGAGGAUGCGAGCGUUAUCCGGAGUUAUUGGGUUUAAAGGGUGCGCAGGCGGAAGCGGAAAGUCAGCGGGAAAAUUGCGGGGCUAAACCGUGCCGAGCCGUUGAAACUGCUCGUCUAGAGUGGGCGAGAAGUAUGCGGAAUGCGUGGUGUAGCGGUGAAAUGCAUAGAUAUCACGCAGAACUCCGAUUGCGAAGGCAGCAUACCGGCGCCCAACUGACGCUCAUGCACGAAAGCGUGGGUAUCGAACAGGAUUAGAUACCCUUGUAGUC